AUUGAAUGCUGGGUCAUCUUUCUAACUAAACAUAUCUAAAUAUAUAUUUUUUUGUUCCAUUGCUUGACUUCAGCCAUUAUAAAAUGUAUUUGUUACCAAAUUAUAUUAUUUACCAUGCCAUCAUCUAUUUAGUAUAUGCUGGUAGGUGUGAAUGUUGGUUAAACUGACACUGUAACCACAUGAGGAUUCACCUCUUGGUUUCUAUUUACCAGGGGACAGGCAAGGUGAGUUGAACUUACCUGAACCUGUCCCUUGUGGACACCUCCAUCUUCUUCCGUCUAGAAGUGUCAAUCCCCCAGCCAUCGCCAGUGACGCCUGAAGGUAAUUUGCAGGUAUUGUGAGUAUUUCAUAAAGGCUGUAUGUUUAUGAAAUACUUAUUUUGCAAGGGGGUGACAGUGUAACUGUAAUAUGUAUCAACAUCCUCACUUCUAACUUUCUAAGGCAUGAGUUGCGCUAAAUAACAUUAAGUUAUGCGUCCAAUACAGUGGGAAAAACAAGCAUUUAUAUAAAAUUAUUUCCAACAGUUGUUAUUACCUAUCCAUACAUUGGAAAUAUGAUGUUAUCUGAUUAAAUUAAAUAUUGAGACACAAGUCAUGGC